AUUUGAGUAGCUUAAAUAAAGUUUUUCAUUGAAGCUGAAAAGAUAAAUUUAUAAUUUCUCGAAUA
rnacentral:tRNA from 1 species